rnacentral:lncRNA from 1 species
UAAGAGAGGAUUCAUUCAUUAAAAGAGCUAAAUCAAAUUAAAGUAAUGGAACAACUUUGAACCAAACUAACUAAAACUAAACCAAAUAAAAAAAAUCAAAAUAAUUCAAACUAAAUCAUAGCAAACUAAAUCAAACGAAUGGAACAAAUUCGAACCGAAUUGAACCAAAUUAACUAAAACUAAAUCAAAUAUAUCAAAAUAAGCUAAAAUAAUUCAAACUAAAUCAAAACAAACCAAACUAAACCAAAUAAAACAUAACCAAACAAAUACAAAUCAUUAUUGAGAGGAACCAAACAAAA